CAUGCAAGUCGAACGGAAUAAUGACUUCGGUUAUUAUUUAGUGGCGGAAGGGUUAGUAAUACAUAGAUAAUCUGUCCUCAACUUGGGAAUAACGGUUGGAAACGACCGCUAAUACCGAAUGUGGUAUGUUUAGGCAUCUAAAACAUAUUAAAGAAGGGGAUCUUCGGACCUUUCGGUUGAGGGAGAGUCUAUGGGGUAUCAGCUUGUUGGUGGGGUAAUGGCCUACCAAGGCUUUGACGUCUAGGCGGAUUGAGAGAUUGACCGCCAACACUGGGACUGAGACACUGCCCAGACUUCUACGGAAGGCUGCAGUCGAGAAUCUUUCGCAAUGGACGAAAGUCUGACGAAGCGACGCCGCGUGUGUGAUGAAGGCUCUAGGGUUGUAAAGCACUUUCGCUUGGGAAUAAGAGAGAUUGGCUAAUAUCCAAUCGAUUUGAGCGUACCAGGUAAAGAAGCACCGGCUAACUCCGUGCCAGCAGCUGCGGUAAUACGGAGGGUGCUAGCGUUAAUCGGAUUUAUUGGGCGUAAAGGGCGUGUAGGCGGAAAGGAAAGUUAGAUGUUAAAUCUUGGGGCUCAACCCCAAGCCAGCAUCUAAUACUAUCUUUCUAGAGGGUAGAUGGAGAAAAGGGAAUUCCACGUGUAGCGGUGAAAUGCGUAGAUAUGUGGAAGAACACCAGUGGCGAAGGCGCUUUUCUAAUUUACACCUGACGCUAAGGCGCGAAAGCAAGGGGAGCAAACAGGAUUAGAUACC
rnacentral:rRNA from 1 species